CCUACGGGUGGCUGCAGUGGGGAAUAUUGGACAAUGGGGGCAACCCUGAUCCAGCCAUGCCGCGUGUGUGAAGAAGGCCCUCGGGUUGUAAAGCACUUUCAGUGAGGAAGAACGCCUGGUGGUUAAUACCCAUCAGGAAAGACAUCACUCACGGAAGAAGCACCGGCUAACUCCGUGCCAGCAGCCGCGGUAAUACGGAGGGUGCGAGCGUUAAUCGGAAUUACUGGGCGUAAAGCGCGCGUAGGUGGCUUGAUAAGCCGGUUGUGAAAGCCCCGGGCUCAACCUGGGAACGGCAUCCGGAACUGUCAAGCUAGAGUGCAGGAGAGGAAGGUAGAAUUCCCGGUGUAGCGGUGAAAUGCGUAGAGAUCGGGAGGAAUACCAGUGGCGAAGGCGGCCUUCUGGACUGACACUGACACUGAGGUGCGAAAGCGUGGGUAGCAAACAGGAUUAGAUACCCGUGUAGUC
rnacentral:rRNA from 1 species